AUUGAACGCUGGCGGCAGGCCUAACACAUGCGAGUCGAGCGGAUGAAGGGAGCUUGCUCCUGGAUUCAGCGGCGGACGGGUGAGUAAUGCCUAGGAAUCUGCCUGGUAGUGGGGGAUAACGUCCGGAAACGGGCGCUAAUACCGCAUACGUCCUGAGGGAGAAAGUGGGGGAUCUUCGGACCUCACGCUAUCAGAUGAGCCUAGGUCGGAUUAGCUAGUUGGUGGGGUAAAGGCCUACCAAGGCGACGAUCCGUAACUGGUCUGAGAGGAUGAUCAGUCACACUGGAACUGAGACACGGUCCAGACUCCUACGGGAGGCAGCAGUGGGGAAUAUUGGACAAUGGGCGAAAGCCUGAUCCAGCCAUGCCGCGUGUGUGAAGAAGGUCUUCGGAUUGUAAAGCACUUUAAGUUGGGAGGAAGGGCAGUAAGUUAAUACCUUGCUGUUUCGACGUUACCAACAGAAUAAGCACCGGCUAACUUCGUG
rnacentral:rRNA from 1 species